AGGAGCCGUAUGAAUCGAGAGGUUCACGUACGGAGUCUGUGAGGAGCUGGAGGUGAAACUCCUCCGGCUUACUCGAC
rnacentral:sRNA from 1 species